AAGUUACACCCCCAUCCGCAGGAAAACAUGAAAAAAGCAGAUCCCAUUGACAAAAUAAUUUUCCUACGCAACCCAAACACUAAAAAUUGCAGAAAACUUUUCACAGGAAAAUAUACUUUCCCUGAAAAAACAAAGGAAGCCUGUUUCAGUAAUGCGAAAUUCUGGAUCUACCCAGAUAACUCAAUGAUAUUGACAGGGAAAGAGGAAAGAAUGACAGGAG
rnacentral:misc_RNA from 1 species